rnacentral:rRNA from 1 species
GAACGCGGGCGGCGUGCCUAACACAUGCAAGUCGGAUGUGCCCGCAAGGGUGCAUGGCAGACGGGUGAGUAACGCGUGGGGAACCUACCUCUUUGUGGGGAACAACGUUCCGAAAGGAAUGGUAAUACCGCAUGAGACCGUUGGCUGGGAUGCUGACGGUGAAACCCAGGGACCGCAAGGCCUGGGGCAAGGAGAGGGUCCUGCGUCUGAUUAGCUAGUUGGCGGGGUAACGGCCCACCAAGGCGUCGAUCAGUAGCCGGCCUGAGAGGGUGAUCGGCCACACUGGAACUGAGACACGGUCCAGACUCCUACGGGAGGCAGCAGUGGGGAAUUUUGCGCAAUGGGCGAAAGCCUGACGCAGCAACGCCGCGUGGGUGAUGAAGGUCUUCGGAUCGUAAAACCCUGUCGUCAGGGACGAAGGUUGCGUGUCGAACAGAUGCGUAACUUGACGGUACCUGGAGAGGAAGCCCCGGCUAACUCUGUGCCAGCAGCCGCGGUAAUACAGAGGGGGCAAGCGUUAUUCGGAAUUAUUGGGCGUAAAGGGCGCGUAGGCGGUGUCUUAAGUGAGAUGUGUAAUCCCCGAGCUUAACUUGGGAACUGCAUCUCAGACUGGGGCGCUAGAGUACUGGAGAGGGUGGUAGAAUUCCACGUGUAGCGGUGAAAUGCGUAGAGAUGUGGAGGAAUACCAGUGGCGAAGGCGGCCACCUGGACAGUAACUGACGCUGAGGCGCGAAAGUGUGGGGAGCAAACAGGAUUAGAUACCCUGGUAGUCCACGCUGUAAACGAUGAACACUUGGUGUGGCGGGAGUUGACCCCUGCCGUGCCGGAGCUAACGCGAUAAGUGUUCCGCCUGGGGAGUACGGUCGGCAGGCUGAA